UACAGAGGGUGCAAGCGUUGUUCGGAAUUAUUGGGCGUAAAGGGCGCGUAGGCGGUGCGGUAAGUCUGUAGUGAAAUCUCUGGGCUCAACUCAGAGUCUGCUGCAGAAACUGCCGUGCUUGAGUGUGGGAGAGGUGAGUGGAAUUCCCGGUGUAGCGGUGAAAUGCGUAGAUAUCGGGGAGGAACACUGCGGUGUAGACGGCUUACUGGACGGUAACUGACGCUGAGGCACGAAAGCGUGGGUAGCAAACAGG
rnacentral:rRNA from 1 species